rnacentral:rRNA from 1 species
UACGUAGGUCCCGAGCGUUGUCCGGAUUUAUUGGGCGUAAAGCGAGCGCAGGUGGUUUAUUAAGUCUGGUGUAAAAGGCAGUGGCUCAACCAUUGUAUGCAUUGGAAACUGGUAGACUUGAGUGUAGGAGAGGAGAGUGGAAUUCCAUGUGUAGCGGUGAAAUGCGUAGAUAUAUGGAGGAACACCGGUGGCGAAAGCGGCUCUCUGGCCUGUAACUGACACUGGGGCUCGAAAGCGUGGGGAGCAAACAGG